CCUACGGGUGGCAGCAGUGGGGAAUAUUGGGCAAUGGGCGCAAGCCUGACCCAGCAACGCCGCGUGAAGGAAGAAGGCUUUCGGGUUGUAAACUUCUUUUCUCAGGGACGAAGAAAGUGACGGUACCUGAGGAAUAAGCCACGGCUAACUACGGGCCAGCAGCCGCGGUAAUAAGUAGGGGGCAAGCGUUAGCCGGAUUUACUGGGGUUAAAGGGCGUGUAGGCGGGACUGCAAGUCAGCUGUGAAAACCACGGGCUCAACCUGUGGCCUGCAUUUGAAACUGUAGUUCUUGAGUACUGGGGAGGCAGACGGAAUGCCUAGUGUAGCGGUGAAAUGCGUAGAUAUUAGGAGGAACACCAGUGGCGAAGGCGGUCUGCUGGACAGCGACUGACGCUGAGGCGCGAAAGCGUGGGGAGCAAACAGGAUUAGAUACCCCUGUAGUC
rnacentral:rRNA from 1 species